rnacentral:lncRNA from 1 species
UGAAGAUACCGGGAAUCACUGGGAAUGUGAAACGGUCCAGCCACUCUGGAAGAUACUCUAGUCAUUUCUUUAAAAUAUGCACAUAUGCACGCAGAUAUGACCCAGUAAUUACACCCUUUUUAAACUGGAAAUGAUCCAGAUGCCCUUCAGUGGGUGCGUGGCAGAACAAACUGUGGUAAACCCGUGCCAUGGAAUACUUCUCAGCAGCAGAAAAGGAGAACUAACUGACCUUUAGGGAUCCUUCGAUUUGUUGACAGAUAGCCCUGGAAGGCAGAGUAGAUAUGAUUGCCUAUGGAGCAGACAGGGUGAGAAGCAGCCUUGGAGAGCAUCCCAAGGGCACUGGAGUGGUUAGAGGGAGAAUGGGCAGAGGAGCCUGAGCAGAGGUCAGGGAUGAGAGUGGUGUCACAGCAGCUGAGAGAGGGGUUUGAGAAGAGAGUGGUCAACUGUGCCAGCAGAUGAGAAGCCAAGUAAGCAGAGACCUGCAGCCACAGGGAGGUCAGUGGGGCUCCAAGGAGAGCACUCUGCAGGGGGCACAACAAGCACCGAGGAGGCUGGAUCUAGCCAUGGAGAGUGUGUGGCUUGGCCUCAAAAAUUCAAGGGCAGUGAAAUGCUAAAAUUCCCAUCACUGUCUAAUUUGCUAGGCAGCAGUAAGUGAUGAUGUCUUGUAACAGUAUAGAAAAGAUACUGAUAGUCUAAGUUUUCUUAUAAAAGUGUCCCAUAGCUGUUCAGUUUUUAGUCAAACAUUUGUUUUACUCUGUGCCCCAGAUACAAUACUGAAUGAUGUGCAUAGAUUAUCUUAAUUAAGACUCACAAUUACUUCAUGGCAUAAGUACUAAUACAAGCUCAUUAUAGUGACAAGGAGACUGAGGCCUAAGAAGUAAAGCAGCUUUCCCCAAGUUACACUCUCAGAAAGUGUUAAGAGCCAGGAUUGUAAAAAGGAGUUUGUAACCUGCAAUUGAACUUGUAUAACGGCCAACUGAACUAAAGACUUAGAUCUUCAGUUUCUCCAAAUUGAAUUAUUUUGAGGCUGAAUCAUUCCUACUGGAUAGAAGGAGAAAGACUAUGGUGAAGAUUAGCUGAGUUAAGGAUAACUAGUUCCAAGAAAGCUUCAGUAACUAAAGGGUUCAGAUACUGUGCAGAAUGCUAAAUGAUUGGAGUUCCUGUCGUGGCUCAAUGGAAACGAAUCUAAGCAGUAUCCAUGUUUGAUCUCUGGCCUCACUCAGUGGGUUAAGGAUUCGGCGUUGCUGUGAGCUGUGGUGUAGGUC